AGCGAACGCUGGCGGCAGGCUUAACACAUGCAAGUCGAGCGGGCGUAGCAAUACGUCAGCGGCAGACGGGUGAGUAGCGCGUGGGAACGUACCUUUUGGUUCGGAACAACCCAGGGAAACUUGGGCUAAUACCGGAUAAGCCCUUACGGGGAAAGAUUUAUCGCCGAAAGAUCGGCCCGCGUCUGAUUAGCUAGUUGGUGAGGUAACGGCUCACCAAGGCGACGAUCAGUAGCUGGUCGAGAGGAUGAUCAGCCACAUUGGGACUGAGACACGGCCCAAACUCCUACGGGAGGCAGCAGUGGGGAAUAUUGGACAAUGGGCGCAAGCCUGAUCCAGCCAUGCCGCGUGAGUGAUGAAGGCCCUAGGGUUGUAAAGCUCUUUCGGCAGGGAAGAUUAUGACGGUACCUGCAGAAGCAGCUGCGGCUAACUACGUGCCAGCAGCCGCUGUAAU
rnacentral:rRNA from 1 species